rnacentral:rRNA from 1 species
GUAAACGGCGGCCGUAACUAUAACGGUCCUAAGGUAGCGAAAUUCCUUGUCGGGUAAGUUCCGACCCGCACGAAAGGUGUAACGAUCUGGGAGCUGUCUCAACAAUAGACUCGGUGAAAUCAUAGUACCUGUGAAGAUGCAGGUUACCCGCGACAGGACGGAAAGACCCCGUGGAGCUUUACUGUAGCUUGAUAUUGAAUACUGAUACCAUAUGUACAGCAUAGGUAGGAGACAAUGAAGUUGCAUCGCUAGAUGUGAUGGAGUCACAGGUGGGAUACUACCCUUAUGUUAUGGGUAUUCUAACGUGGUAUCAUUAUCUGGUACACGGACAAUGUCUGGUGGACAGUUUGACUGGGGCGGUCGCCUCCUAAAGAGUAACGGAGGCGCCCAAAGGUUUUCUCAGCAUGGUUGGAAAUCAUGCAUAGAGUGUAAAGGCAUAAGAAAGCUUGACUGCGAGACGUACAUGUCGAGCAGGGACGAAAGUCGGGCUUAGUGAUCCGGCGGUACCGAAUGGAAGGGCCGUCGCUCAACGGAUAAAAGCUACCCCGGGGAUAACAGGCUAAUACCCCCCAAGAGUUCACAUCGACGGGGGUGUUUGGCACCUCGAUGUCGGCUCAUCGCAUCCUGGGGCUGAAGUAGGUCCCAAGGGUUGGGCUGUUCGCCCAUUAAAGCGGUACGCGAGCUGGGUUCAGAACGUCGUGAGACAGUUCGGUCCCUAUCCGUCGUGGGCGUAGGAAAUUUGAGUGGAGCUGUCCUUAGUACGAGAGGACCGGGAUGGACACACCAAUGGUGGACCUAUUGUCGUGCCAACGGCAUAGUAGGGUAGCUAAGUGUGGACGGGAUAAACGCUGAAAGCAUAUAAGCGUGAAGCCUCCCACAAGAUGAGAUUUCCCAUUACGCAAGUAAGUAAGAAACCAUGAAGACUACGUGGUUGAUAGGUCAGAGAUGGAAGUGUGGUGACACAUGGAGUUGACUGAUACUAAUAUUUCGAGGACUUAACCUC